rnacentral:lncRNA from 1 species
AGCCCGGGCGCCCUUCCUCUCUGCGGGACUGCAGGUCUAUCCGCUAAGCGCGCGUGACCAAAAACGGCUCUCAGCGGGUCCCAGCUGACGGAAGGUGGGGGAGGAGUGCGAGGGUCUCUGAGACAGGUUGGGAGCCAGCCCCACCUCCAUUUCCAAAGCGGGGGUCCAGGCACAGGAACAGCCAAACGCCCGAACCAGCGGGGUUACCUUUGCCACUUCAUCCAAUCCGAGCAUCGGCUGGAAACUGGGAAGUUUGUCAGACAAAGCUCUUCAGGUUACUGGCAAUUUAUGUGCUGGGAGGUGGAUUUGUGGGCAGAGCUCCGGCUGACCUGGUGUUGUCCUGCUAUGGCUACAGACUUCUGACUAUGCUUAUCAGAAAAACUUUCAUUUGGUUCAAGGAUUUUUGCUGACAAGUUUAUUUAAUCCCUGAACCUGGAUCCAAGGCAUCUCCCUGUAGAAAACAUCAGACCGGGGCAGAGAUUGACAAAGCAACCCAAAGCAGCAGCUGCCAACGGCCGCUGUGCCCACCUCAUCAGCAGCUAAAGAGUAUAAUUUUAAAAAAAGUCACAGAAGAAUGUGGAGACACUUAGCAAAACGGACUCUCAUAAGGAACUUCCAUUUUCUCAACAACUGCUCUUCCAAGAUGCUGCCUCAUUUCAGAGCCAUGUUUUACUCAUGAGCUGGUCCUGUCCAGAAAACAGCCAAUGCUCAUUCCCGACA